GCAGUCGACGGUAACAGAAGCAGCUUGCUGCUUUGCUGACGAGUGGCGGACGGGUGAGUAAUGUCUGGGAAACUGCCUGAUGGAGGGGGAUAACUACUGGAAACGGUAGCUAAUACCGCAUAACGUCGCAAGACCAAAGAGGGGGACCUUCGGGCCUCUUGCCAUCGGAUGUGCCCAGAUGGGAUUAGCUUGUUGGUGGGGUAACGGCUCACCAAGGCGACGAUCCCUAGCUGGUCUGAGAGGAUGACCAGCCACACUGGAACUGAGACACGGUCCAGACUCCUACGGGAGGCAGCAGUGGGGAAUAUUGCACAAUGGGCGCAAGCCUGAUGCAGCCAUGCCGCGUGUAUGAAGAAGGCCUUCGGGUUGUAAAGACCUUUCAGCGGGGAGGAAGGGAGUAAAGUUAAUACCUUUGCUCAUUGACGUUACCCGCAGAAGAAGCACCGGCUAACUCCGUGCCAGCAGCCGCGGUAAUACGGAGGGUGCAAGCGUUAAUCGGAAUUACUGGGCGUAAAGCGCACGCAGGCGGUUUGUUAAGUCAGAUGUGAAAUCCCCGGGCUCAACCUGGGAACUGCAUCUGAUACUGGCAAGCUUGAGUCUCGUAGAGGGGGGUAGAAUUCCAGGUGUAGCGGUGAAAUGCGUAGAGAUCUGGAGGAAUACCGGUGGCGAAGGCGGCCCCCUGGACGAAGACUGACGCUC
rnacentral:rRNA from 1 species